AAUGGGGGCAACCCUGAUCCAGCCAUUCCGCGUGAGUGAAGAAGGCCUUCGGGUUGUAAAGCUCUUUCGGCCGGGAAGAAAUCGCAUCUCCUAAUACGGGGUGUGGAUGACGGUACCGGAAGAAGAAGCACCGGCUAACUACGUGCCAGCAGCCGCGGUAAUACGUAGAGUGCGAGCGUUAAUCGGAAUUACUGGGCGUAAAGCGUGCGCAGGCGGUUUUGUAAGCCAGAUGUGAAAUCCCCGGGCUCAACCUGGGAACUGCAUUUGAGACUGCUCAACUGGAGUUUGGCAGAGGGGGGUGGAAUUCCACGUGUAGCAGUGAAAUGCGUAGAGAUGUGGAGGAACACCGAUGGCGAAGGCAGCCCCCUGGGCCAAUACUGACGCUCAUGCACGAAAGCGUGGGGAGCAAA
rnacentral:rRNA from 1 species